GGGGAAACGCAGUAGGAGGAGUGACGGGAACCGGGAGCCGGCUCCAUGCGCCUGGAGCGCGCGGGUCCCAGCGCCCAUCGGCCCGGGGUCCGAGGGGCCCGCUGCCCGGGCUCGCUGCGUGGUGCUACCGCCCCCGGGCCCGCUGCGCCGCGUCGGAGCCCCAGCAGACUUUGAGAGGCGUGUGCGACAGUGCGCGUCCUCUCCUGCCUCUGGAUGUUUCCUUGGAGCCUCUGGCCUUCGGGAAGACCGCCUGAUGGCCUGGUGUUGGGCCUGAUCACCCCAAAAUUUCAGGCACCCAACGUGGGGCUAUGAAGACCAUGGUAAAGAAAUGCUAGAGUAUAUGGAAAUGAAGGACAUAUCAUCAAAGGACACCCGAGGAUGGCUGAAAGAAGCUUGUGCCACUGGGUUAGAGUCUCCCCGACCAAGCUGGUCUCAGCAAGUGGUCUCCAUCAUGGGGGCUCGAAUCCAGGUUGAAGGGUCACCAGAGUGAUGGUUGGAGAACAUGGAACUAGCUGGAGGACACCUGAGUACUCUUAAAGCAAACCCCGUGUUAAUUGAAAAUGCUCAGUUACGAUUUCAUACAGAUGAACAACUGAAGACAAAAACAACAAAGGGGGAGAAAGAGGGAUUAUGGGACAGCCCAUAUACAAUUGAAUCUAGCAUUAUUAACUUUAAAUUUUUUGAGUCUGCCUAAAGGCCAGAUGUUAUCAGCAGCUGAACAGCAUUUACAGAAACCGGCUGCAAAGACAGAAGCAGAACAACUGGUUUGGUGGAGAGAUCCGAUAACAAAAAGUUGGGAAAUAGGUAAAAUAAUAACUUGGGGUAGAGGUUAUGUUUGUGUUUCUCCAGGCCAAAAUCAAUAACCAAUUUGGAUACCAUCAAGACACCUGAAACCUUAUCAUGAGCCAGAUGCUGAGGAAGAGAUUCCAGGAGGAUCCUGAGGACCCCCUGGUUGCAGCCACGUCGAGGCUGACACUGAGGAGGACCCCAACUGUCAUGAGCAACACCCGUCGAACACAGCCAUCCACCUGGGGACAAAUCAAGAAGCUGUCACAGAUGAUGGAAGAAAACCUGAGGAAAGCGGGACAACCAAUCACAAUGAGUAAUUUGGUGAUCUAUCACAGUGAUGAUCACCAUUGCCAUGAGUAUUCCUUCAACAAGGGCUGACACAGAGAACAAUUAUACUUAUUGGGCAUAUUUAUCAAUCUUGUCUGGCAAUAAUGCCUAGAUGAUUUCACUCUAUGGCACAGUUACACAUGCUUUCUGAUCUCAGUAUUUACCAUAAUAAAUCUGCUCCUAUAAUUGAGGCAUACCACCCUCAAAAACCUAUUUGUAAACAAAAUAGAACCUGGCCAGAAAUAAUGAACAACUUGUUUAGUAAGAUUGCAUUGCAGAACAGGCAGAGAUGCUACGCAAUGAUUCCUAUGGGAUCAUUGAUUGGUCCCCUAAGGGGAUGUUUAGCUUAAAUUGCACCUCUCAGUCUGCAUGCCAUGGCCACACUAGUUCAGAUGGUCUGAACAAAGUGGUCAGAUGGCAGAAAUGAUAAGAAGUAUGGCAAAAGUUCCUAUUGUCUGGAACCAUGGCAGUAUAGUGUCACCUCAACCUCAAAUGAUAUGGCUCAUUGUAGGAGCUAAACAUAAGGAUUUGUGGAAACUAUUAAUAGCUCUUAAUAAGAUCAAAAUUUGGGAAAGAAUAAAAAAAGCAUCUAGAAAGACACUCUACAAACUUGUCUUUGGAUAUUACAAAAUUAAAAGAACAAAUAUUUAAAGCAUCCCAGGUACACCUGACCUUAAUGACAGAAACUGGAGUGCUUGAAGGAGCUGCAGACAGAUUAGCAGCUAGUAACCCAUUAAAAUGGAUAAAAACACUUGGAAGCUCUGUGAUUUCAAUGAUGAUUGUGCUUUUAAUCGGUAUUGUUUGUCUUUGUAUAGUGUGCAGAUGUGGAUCCUGACUCCUGUGAGAAGUAGCUCACAGUGUCAAAGCUGCCUUUGCUUUUAUCGAUUUGCAAAUCAAAUAAGGGGGACAUAUUGGGAACAGCACCCCCCCCCCCAAAAUCUGGCCAUAAACUGGUCCCAAAACUGGCCAUAAACAAAAUCUCUGCAGCACUGACAUGUUCAUGAUGGUCUUAAUGCCCACGCUGGAAGGUUGUGGGUUUACCAGAAUGAGAGCAAGGAACACCUGGCCCACCCAGGGUGGAAAACCACUUAAAGGCAUUCUUAAACCACAAACAAUAGCAUGAGUGAUCUGUGCCUUAAGGCUGUGCUACUGCUGCAGAUAACUAGCCCAACCCAUCCCUUUAUUUCAGCCCAUCCCUUCGUUUCCCAUAAGGGAUACUUUUAAUUAAUCUAAUAUGUAUAGAAAGAAUGCUAAUGACUGGCUUGCUGUUAAUAAAUAACGUGGGUAAAUCUCUGUUGGAGGCUCUCAGCUCUGAAGGCUGUGAGACCCCGGAUUUCCCACUUCAC
ensembl:lncRNA PM20D1-AS1 PM20D1 antisense RNA 1